CGGAAUUAGAGACCGGCGCACGGGUGCGUAACGCGUAUGCAAUCUACCUUUCACAAAGGGAUAGCCCAGAGAAAUUUGGAUUAAUACCUUAUAGUAUAUCGAGUUGGCAUCAACAUGAUAUUAAAGAUUUAUCGGUGAAAGAUGAGCAUGCGUCCCAUUAGUUAGUUGGUAAGGUAACGGCUUACCAAGACAACGAUGGGUAGGGGUCCUGAGAGGGAGAUCCCCCACACUGGUACUGAGACACGGACCAGACUCCUACGGGAGGCAGCAGUGAGGAAUAUUGGACAAUGGGCGCAAGCCUGAUCCAGCCAUGCCGCGUGCAGGAUGACGGUCCUAUGGAUUGUAAACUGCUUUUAUACAGGAAGAAACAGUCCUACGUGUAGAACCUUGACGGUACUGUAAGAAUAAGGAUCGGCUAACUCCGUGCCAGCAGCCGCGGUAAUACGGAGGAUCCAAGCGUUAUCCGGAAUCAUUGGGUUUAAAGGGUCCGUAGGCGGUCAGAUAAGUCAGUGGUGAAAGCCCAUCGCUCAACGGUGGAACGGCCAUUGAUACUGUCUGACUUGAAUUAUUAGGAAGUAACUAGAAUAUGUAGUGUAGCGGUGAAAUGCUUAGAGAUUACAUGGAAUACCAAUUGCGAAGGCAGGUUACUACUAAUAUAUUGACGCUGAUGGACGAAAGCGUGGGUAGCGAACAGGAUUAGAUACCCUGGUAGUCCACGCCGUAAACGAUGGAUACUAGCUGUUGGGCGCAAGUUCAGUGGCUAAGCGAAAGUGAUAAGUAUCCCACCUGGGGAGUACGUUCGCAAGAAUGAAACUCAAAUGAAUUGACGG
rnacentral:rRNA from 1 species